rnacentral:antisense_RNA from 1 species
CAACGAUCUUUGGUCAUGGUUAAACAAAUCAGGCCACGGCCAUAGGUUGCCAUAAAGUUGAUGGCUUCCGGCGUAAUAUGCUCGGCAGCCAUGAUCA